UGGGGAAUAUUGCACAAUGGAGGGAACUCUGAUGCAGCGACGCCGCGUGAACGAAGAAGGCUUUCGAGUCGUAAAGUUCUUUUAUAUGGGAAGAUAAUGACGGUACCAUAAGAAAAAGCCCCGGCUAACUACGUGCCAGCAGCCGCGGUAAUACGUAGGGGGCUAGCGUUGUCCGGAAUCACUGGGCGUAAAGGGUUCGCAGGCGGAAAUGCAAGUCAGGUGUAAAAGGCAGUAGCUUAACUACUGUAAGCAUUUGAAACUGCAUAUCUUGGAGAGAGGAGGGGUAAGUGGAAUUUUUAGUGUAGGGGUGAAAAGGGUAGAAAUUAAAAAGAAAACCGGGGGGGAAGGGGACUUACCGGGCUCCUUCUGACGGCGGGGAACGAAAGCGUGGGUAGCAAACAGG
rnacentral:rRNA from 1 species